rnacentral:rRNA from 1 species
CUGGGGCGUAAAGCGCAUGCAGGCGGCCUGUUAAGUCAGAUGUGAAAGCCCGGGGGCUUAACCUCGGAAUUGCAUUUGAAACUGGCAGGCUAGAGUCUUGUAGAGGGGGGUAGGAAUUUCAGGUGUAGCGGUGAAAUGCGUAGAGAUCUGAAGGAAUACCAGUGGCGAAGGCGGCCCCCUGGACAAAGACUGACGCUCAGACUGCGAAAGCGUGGGGAGCAAACAGGAUUAGAUACCCUGGUAG